UGACCUCGGAUCAGACGUGAUUACCCGCUGAAUUUAAGCAUAUUAUUAAGCGGAGGAAAAGAAACUAACAAGGAUUCCCCUAGUAACGGCGAGUGAACGGGGAAGAGCCCAACACCGAAUCCCUUGGCGCAAGUCAACGGGAAAUGUGGUGUUAAGGUAGCCCUUCGUGUCAGUCUAGGCGUCUCAAGUCCACCUGAUUGUGGCUCAAGCCCAGAGAGGGUGUAAGGCCCGUAGAGACGCUCCGACUGAUUCCUGGGGUUUACCUACGAGUCGGCUUGUUUGGGAAUGCAGGCCAAAGCGGGUGGUAAACUCCAUCCAAGGCUAAAUACUGGCACGAGUCCGAUAGCGGACAAGUACCGUGAGGGAAAGUUGAAAAGAACUUUGAAGAGAGAGUUCAAUAGUACGUGAAACCGCUUAGAGGCAAACGGAUGGUGCUCAUACUGGCCUGAGGAAUUCAACUGUGACGGUGGCUGGACGAGCUGGCGUUCCGAUCUCUCUUUUGGGACGGGCGUCGGUUUGGCUAUCAGCUCCGACAUGGUGCACUUUCCUUGGUGCCUCCGCCACGACCGACGACACUGGCUACCCGCGGCUGGGGUAAGGUGACAAACUGCUUCGGCAAUUUGUGUUAUAGACCCCGGCGUCGGACAUGGUUUGGCCAGGACGUCGAGCUUGCGGCGCCGCCCGCUCCUUGUGGGCUCGCAUGUUGGCUAGCUUGGCUGCGCCGAUGCUUGCACUGGACAACCAGUACAGGUGACGGUUGUGGUCUUGUCUCUAGUUGGCCUCUGCGAGUUUGGCGCCUAUAGUCUGUGGUGUACUUGUGGGUAGACUAUCCGACCCGUCUUGAAACACGGACCAAGGAGUCUAACAUGUGCGCGAGUCAUGGGGAUUCUACGAAACCCAAAGGCGCAGUGAAAGUAAAGGCCUGCUUCUCGUAGGCUGAGGUGGGAUCUCGUGCAUCGCGAUUGGCGAGCGCACCACCGGCCCGUCCUAUCUGUCUCUGUCAGUGGGGCGGCGCAAGAGCGUACACGUUGGGACCCGAAAGAUGGUGAACUAUGCUUGCGCAGCUCGAAGUCAGUGGAAACACUGAUGGAGGAGCGCAGCGUUUCUGACGUGCAAAUCGAUCGUCAAACGUGAGUAUAGGGGCGAAAGACUAAUCGAACCAUCUAGUAGCUGGUUCCCUCCGAAGUUUCCCUCAGGAUAGCUGGCACUCGGGAAACAGUUUUAUCCGGUAAAGCGAAUGAUUAGAGGCAUUGGGGUCGAAACGACCUCGACCUAUUCUCAAACUUUAAAUGGGUAAGAUGCUCGUCUCGCUUAAUUGGAGGCGGGCUUCA
rnacentral:ncRNA from 1 species